AUGAAGCAUUUCAGAAUGUCAUUUAAGAUCAAGAGCAGCAGAAGGAACAAACAUGAAGGUAUGAGUAUGUGUUGGGGGAGCCAGCAUUAACACAUACUACUAGGAGACAUGUGAGGAGUUUUGUUUCCAAGAUAAUAUUUAUUUCACUAAAUAUGAACUUACUUGGAUAAGCCUUAUGUAGAAAUAUAGACUGUAGUCCAAUCAGGCUCUUGGUUCCUGCUCUGCGUGAGUUCUUGCCCUGACUUCCCUCCAUGAUGGGCUGUGACCUGAGCUUUGAUUUGAGGCUGUGACCUCAUGGCUGAAGAUACCAAACACUUUGGACAUAACGCCUGGAGGCAUUGAGUUGGAAUUUACCUUAAAGCAUGUCCCUGGGUUCAGGGAACCCUGAGGAAGAGGAAGCAGAAAAAGAGUAAGAGCCAGAAGAAAUAGAGGACACCAGGAGAACAAGGCCUCCUGAAUCAACUAAGGAAGGCACAUGUGAGCGCACAGAGACUGAAGCAGCAAACAUAGGACAUGCUGUAUUUAGAGAAACUGUAAAGAAGAAAGAACAACUGAAUGCUAUAUUCAUAGUGAAUAUGUGGAUUCAUAUCCUGCAACAUAAGACAGGAGAGCAAAGGAGAAAGAAAUGUUUGAACACCAUGUUUCUAAUUUUUCACCCAAGGGAAUGAAUUCAGGUACUAUGAGACUGCAGUGUAAUCAAGGAGAAGAUGAAAGAUGAAGUAAAUAAGCAAGAACUCAGAAGAAGUGGGAGGCAGACAUCACUUAUGGAAAUUCUUGGCUGCUACUUCACGCCUCCACCUUCAGAUGCAGAAUUUAAGUGCAAAGAAAAAAAAAAAAACCCUUACACACCAAACCAGAUUGUGCAUAUUUUCUCCUUUUCUACUGCAUAAAGCAGGGAUGCAUCCUAUACCUCUUGUGUGCUAUAGAUGUCCAUUUCUCAAGAGCAGCUCAGCAGAGUCGAGGGAGAACUACCCACACUGGUUCACUGCAAGUCUACAUAGAGCUGAUAAGCUUCCAAGUUACACAGGAAAAAGAAGAAAGGCAAAGGCUCCCAUGUAAAGGAACAGAGAAUGACUUUAUCUAGAAGGAAAACGACGCUGGGAUUUUCAAAGCCUCUCUGUCAGUCUCAGAACCCUCUGCAGUAAGACAUCUGUUAUGGGGGAAAAAAUAAAAAAUGCCUGCAUACUCGUAUCUUGUGGAACAGGUAGACUAGAUUACCCAUGGACUAUGGAUAGGAACUCUGUGAGCUCCGUUGUGAAGGGCAAGACUCUGAGGGUUAUGUUAGAACUCCUGCUGGCAGCUACCUCUGUAGUGACACAAGGAUUGGCACCUUGUCCCAAGAAACUAUUUUACAAACAGCUUUGGACUCCAUUCUGAGAGUGGACGGACAAAAAUCACCACCUGCUUGGCACCACUCACAUAGUUCAGACUGG
rnacentral:lncRNA from 1 species